rnacentral:lncRNA from 10 species
ACGGGACAUUACUUGAACACAGUCACGGAGUGAGACAAGUGAAGGGCCAACCCUGCUCCAGAGCUCCCUGCAGGAUCCGGAAAGCUGCCAGGUUUGGGACGCCUGGAGUGAGAGGCAGCUCCACAAGCGCAGUUGCUGUGCAAGCUGCUCUUCCACUGUGGCCACAGAAUCCAGCAGAUGUGAAGGCACUAUGCUUAUCAGUGGACUUUCCAAGUUGGAGGCCUCACUGUUGCUUCAAGUGUGGUAUGGCAGCACCCAUCUGCUGUGUCCAUCUACACUUUAUUAUAUAUCUAUGCACCUCAUCAGGGAAGCACGGGAACCCGCAGGCACUGCUAGUAGGAAGGCAAGCUGGCCUGGCCAUUCUGGAGAAGAACAUGGCAGUAUACUCAGUCACAUUCCAGUCGCACAGCCUGUGAUUUGGGUAUGCAUCAUGGAUAAAUGUUCAUUGUAGUGUUAUUUAGGAAAUCCAGGAGCUGGAGAUGGAAAGCAAUGUGCUUGAACUAGGUAGGAUGUAUACAGCUCAAAUGGGCCAACUGUUAAAUUUUCAGGAAUUUGGUGAGCUAGUUUUUAUACCCCG